GUCGGCGAUGAGAUCUGCUGCCGGCCGGUUGUUGUGGAAGAGAUCGAAGGGGGAAACUGACACCGUUGAUGGGGAAGGAGCCGCCGCUGCUGGCCGGAGAAGGAAACCGUGGGUCUGAGGCGAUGGGAACAGCCCUGCCCGUUCCCUGGUCGGUGGAGAGGAGCUGGGUCCGUCGGCUGUGAGCAGAAGCUGCCGCUGCUGGAGGAAGAAGGUAGACCGCUGGAGGGCAGAUCCUCCGGGGGGAAGAAGAAAAACAAAAUCAGAGGCAGGGGAUCGUCCGGGCAGUGGGGUUCGGUGAGAAAAAGGGAAAAAAUUUGAUGAGAGGCUGCUGUCUUGGUGAUCGGCUGGGGAGAGAUUGAAGAAGAGAAAAAAAUGAGUGGUUGUUUGGGGGG
rnacentral:lncRNA from 1 species